rnacentral:rRNA from 1 species
UGGGGGAUAUUGCACAAUGGGCGCAAGCCUGAUGCAGCGACGCCGCGUGGGGGAUGACGGCCUUCGGGUUGUAAACUUCUUUUGCUCUGAACAAGGCGCACUUUGGGGUGUGUUGAGUGUAGGGGUUGAUUAGCGCCGGCUAACUACGUGCCAGCAGCCGCGGUAAUACGUAGGGCGCGAGCGUUGUCCGGAAUUAUUGGGCGUAAAGGGCUUGUAGGUGGCUGGUUGCGUCUGUCGUGAAAGCUCAUGGCUUAACUGUGGGUUUGCGGGGGGGACGGGCUGGCGUGAGUGCAGUAGGGGAGGCUGGAAUUCCUGGUGUAGCGGUGGAAUGCGCAGAUAUCAGGAGGAAUACCGGUGGAGAAGGCGGGUCUCUGGGCUGUUACUGACACUGAGGAGCGAAAGCAUGGGGAGCGAACAGG